rnacentral:tRNA from 1 species
ACCUUCUUAGCGCAACAGGCAGAGGCAAUAGUUUUAGAAACUAUACAGUGUGGGUUCGAAUCCCACAGAAGGUA